rnacentral:rRNA from 1 species
UACGUAGGGUGCAAGCGUUAAUCGGAAUUACUGGGCGUAAAGCGUGCGCAGGCGGCUUUGCAAGACAGAUGUGAAAUCCCCGGGCUUAACCUGGGAACUGCAUUUGUGACUGCAUGGCUGGAGUGCGGCAGAGGGGGAUGGAAUUCCGCGUGUAGCAGUGAAAUGCGUAGAGAUGUGGAGGAACACCGAUGGCGAAGGCAGCCCCCUGGGCUGACACUGACGCUCAGGCACGAAAGCGUGGGGAGCAAACAGG